AAAGAAAGCGUAAUAGCUCACUGGUCGAGUCGGCCUGCGCGGAAGAUGUAACGGGGCUAAACCAUGCACCGAAGCUGCGGCAGCGACGCUUAUGCGUUGUUGGGUAGGGGAGCGUUCUGUAAGCCUGCGAAGGUGUGCUGUGAGGCAUGCUGGAGGUAUCAGAAGUGCGAAUGCUGACAUAAGUAACGAUAAAGCGGGUGAAAAACCCGCUCGCCGGAAGACCAAGGGUUCCUGUCCAACGUUAAUCGGGGCAGGGUGAGUCGACCCCUAAGGCGAGGCCGAAAGGCGUAGUCGAUGGGAAACAGGUUAAUAUUCCUGUACUUGGUGUUACU
rnacentral:rRNA from 1 species